AUACGGAGGUGGCAAGCGUUACUCGGAAUCAUUGGGUGUAAAGGGCAAGUAGGCGGCUUGUUAAGUGAGGGGUGAAAUCUUCUGACUCAAUCGGAAAAUUGCCUUUCAAACUAGCAGGCUUGAGGCUGGAAGGGGGAUAUGGAAUUCGCGGUGUAAGGGUGAAAUCUGUAGAUAUCGCGAAGAACACCGGCGGCGAAGGCGGUAUCCUGGUCCAGUUCUGACGCUAAAUUGCGAAAGCUAGGGGAGCAAACAGAAUUAGAUACCCCGGUAGUCC
rnacentral:rRNA from 1 species